rnacentral:rRNA from 1 species
GACGAACGCUGGCGGCGUGCUUAACACAUGCAAGUCGUACGGUAAGGCCCUUUCGGGGGUCCACGAGUGGCGCACGGGUGUGUAACACGUGUGUAACCUGCCCACAACUUUGGGAUAACGCUAGGAAACUGGUGCUAAUACUGGAUAUGUGCUCCUGCUGCAUGGUGGGGGUUGGAAAGCUCCGGCGGUUGUGGAUGGACUCGCGGCCUAUCAGCUUGUUGGUGGGGUAGUGGCCUACCAAGGCGGCGACGGGUAGCCGGCCUGAGAGGGUGACCGGCCACAUUGAGACUGAGAGGCGGCCCAGACGCCGACGGGAGGCAGAUGUGGGGAAUAUUGCACAAUGGGCGCAAGCCUGAUGCAGCAGGGCCGCGUGCGGGAUGACGGCUUUAGGGUGGUAGACCGCUUUCAGCAGGGACGAAGCUUUUUGUGACGGUACCUGCAGAAGAAGCACCGGCUAACUACGUG